GACGGAGCAACGCCGCGUGAGUGAUGAAGGUCUUCGGAUCGUAAAACUCUGUUAUUAGGGAAGAACAUAUGUGUAAGUAACUGUGCACAUCUUGACGGUACCUAAUCAGAAAGCCACGGCUAACUACGUGCCAGCAGCCGCGGUAAUACGUAGGUGGCAAGCGUUAUCCGGAAUUAUUGGGCGUAAAGCGCGCGUAGGCGGUUUUUUAAGUCUGAUGUGAAAGCCCACGGCUCAACCGUGGAGGGUCAUUGGAAACUGGAAAACUUGAGUGCAGAAGAGGAAAGUGGAAUUCCAUGUGUAGCGGUGAAAUGCGCAGAGAUAUGGAGGAACACCAGUGGCGAAGGCGACUUUCUGGUCUGUAACUGACGCUGAUGUGCGAAAGCGUGGGGAUCAAACAGGAUUAGAUACCCUGGUAGUCCACGCCGUAAACGAUGAGUGCUA
rnacentral:rRNA from 1 species